CAGUCGAGCGGCAGCGGGAAAGUAGCUUGCUACUUUUGCCGGCGAGCGGCGGACGGGUGAGUAAUGCCUGGGGAUCUGCCCAGUCGAGGGGGAUAACUACUGGAAACGGUAGCUAAUACCGCAUACGCCCUACGGGGGAAAGCAGGGGACCUUCGGGCCUUGCGCGAUUGGAUGAACCCAGGUGGGAUUAGCUAGUUGGUGAGGUAACGGCUCACCAAGGCGACGAUCCCUAGCUGGUCUGAGAGGAUGAUCAGCCACACUGGAACUGAGACACGGUCCAGACUCCUACGGGAGGCAGCAGUGGGGAAUAUUGCACAAUGGGGGAAACCCUGAUGCAGCCAUGCCGCGUGUGUGAAGAAGGCCUUCGGGUUGUAAAGCACUUUCAGCGAGGAGGAGAGGUUGGUAGCUAAUAACUGCCAGCUGUGACGUUACUCGCAGAAGAAGCACCGGCUAACUCCGUGCCAGCAGCCGCGGUAAUACGGAGGGGUGCAGCGUUAUCGGAAUUACU
rnacentral:rRNA from 1 species